CUAUACAUGCAAGUCGAGCGAACAGAAAAGGAGCUUGCUCCUUUGACGUUAGCGGCGGACGGGUGAGUAACACGUGGGCAACCUACCCUAUAGUUUGGGAUAACUCCGGGAAACCGGGGCUAAUACCGAAUAAUCUCUUUUGCUUCAUGGUGAAAGACUGAAAGACGGUUUCGGCUGGCGCUAUAGGAUGGGCCCGCGGGGCAUUAACUAAUUGGGGAGGGAACGGCUCCCCAAGGGGACGAUGCGUAGCCGACCUGAAAGGGGGAUCGGCCCCCCUGGGACUGAAACCCGGCCCAAACUCCUACGGGAGGGAGCAGUAGGGAAUCUUCCACAAUGGGCGAAAGCCUGAUGGAACAACCCCGCGUGAAUGAAAAAGGGUUUCCGAUCCUAAAACUCUGUUGUAAGGGAAAAACAAGUACAGUAGUAACUGGCUGUACCUGACCGGACCCUAUUAGAAAGCC
rnacentral:rRNA from 1 species